GUGCACUUGAUAAUGAAUGACAGUUGAAUAUGUGGAGCCCUUUCUCCAACAAAAGUUUGUGGGGCUUGAUGCCGGUCAUUGAGGGGAGAGAAUGUAUGCACUUGAUGAGCAGGCUGAGCUAUACCAAUUUCUGCUUGAGAUAGUGACCAGUAAGAUCCCAUAGACUGUUAGAGGAAGCUUAUUUUGAAGGUAUAUUGCCACCACUAAGUCAAAAUGAUUGCAGUGGUGGUGAGGUCAAGAGUCAGCUAGAGUUGUAGUCAUGUGAUUGGCUAUUGGCAAUAAUUGCAAACUUGUUGGAGGCAUUCGUGACGUUCAUAAUCGAUGCGGACUGGUAGUGGUUUUUGCCAGGUCUCGUGGAAGGCAUAGGUUUCUUCCGAAUGGGGAGUAGGCG